rnacentral:rRNA from 1 species
UACGUAGGGGCCGAGCGUUGUCCGGAGUUACUGGGCGUAAAGCGCGCGUAGGCGGACCUGCAAGUCGGGGGUGAAAGCCCGAGGCUCAACCUCGGAACUGCCUUCGAUACUGCGGGUCUCGAGUCCGGGAGAGGUGAGUGGAAUUCCUAGUGUAGAGGUGAAAUUCGUAGAUAUUAGGAAGAACACCAGUGGCGAAGGCGGCUCACUGGCCCGGUACUGACGCUGAGGCGCGAAAGCGUGGGGAGCAAACAGG